ACGUAGGUGGCAAGCGUUGUCCGGAAUUAUUGGGCGUAAAGCGUACGCAGGCGGUUUCUUAAGUCUGAUGUGAAAGCCCACGGCUCAACCGUGGAGGGUCAUUGGAUACUGGGGAACUUGAGUACAGAAGAGGAGAGUGGAAUUCCACGUGUAGCGGUGAAAUGCGUAGAGAUGUGGAGGAACACCAGUGGCGAAGGCGACUCUCUGGUCUGUAACUGACGCUGAGGUACGAAAGCGUGGGGAGCGAACAGGA
rnacentral:rRNA from 1 species